rnacentral:rRNA from 1 species
AUUGAACGCUGGCGGCAGGCCUAACACAUGCAAGUCGAACGAGCGGCGGACGGGUGAGUAAUGUCUGGGGAACUGCCUGAUAGAGGGGGAUAACUACUGGAAACGGUAGCUAAUACCGCAUACCAUCGGAUGUACCCAUAUGGGAUUAGCUAGUAGGUGGGGGAAAGGCUCACCUAGGCGACGAUCUCUAGCUGGUCUGAGAGGAUGAUCAGCCACACUGGGACUGAGACACGGCCCAGACUACUACGGGAGGCAGCAGUGGGGAAUAUUGCACAAUGGGCGCAAGCCUGAUGCAGCCAUGCCGCGUGUAUGAAGAAGGCCUUAGGGUUGUAAAGUACUUUCAGCGGGGAGGCGUUACCCGCAGAAGAAGCACCGGCUAACUCCGUGCCAGCAGCCGCGGUAAUUC